rnacentral:rRNA from 1 species
GACGAACGCUGGCGGCGUGCUUAACACAUGCAAGUCGAACGGAAAGGCCCUGCUUUUGUGGGGUGCUCGAGUGGCGAACGGGUGAGUAACACGUGAGUAACCUGCCCUUGACCUUGGGAUAACUUCAGGAAACUGGGGCUAAUACCGGAUAGGAGCUCCUGCUGCAUGGUGGGGGUUGGAAAGUUUCGGCGGUUGGGGAUGGACUCGCGGCUUAUCAGCUUGUUGGUGGGGUAGUGGCUUACCAAGGCUUUGACGGGUAGCCGGCCUGGGAGGGUGACCGGCCACAUUAGGACUGAGAUACGGCCCAGACUCCUACGGGAGGCAGCAGAGGGGAAUAUUGCACAAUGGGCGGAAGCCUGAUGCAGCAACGCCGCGUGCGGGAUGACGGCCUUCGGGUUGUAAACCGCUGUCGCCUGUGACGAAGCGUGAGUGACGGUAAUGGGUAAAGAAGCACCGGCUAACUACGUG